UACGUAGGGUGCAAGCGUUGUCCGGAAUUAUUGGGCGUAAAGAGCUCGUAGGCGGUUUGUUGCGUCGGCUGUGAAAACCUGAGGCUCAACCUCAGGCCUGCAGUCGAUACGAGCAGACUAGAGUGUUGCAGGGGAGACUGGAAUUCCUGGUGUAGCGGUGAAAUGCGCAGAUAUCAGGAGGAACACCGGUGGCGAAGGCGGGUCUCUGGGCAACAACUAACGCUGGAGGAGCGAAAGCGUGGGGAACGAACAGG
rnacentral:rRNA from 1 species